AUCCMGCAAUGCCGCGUGAGUGAAGAAGGCCUUCGGGUUGUAAAACUCUUUCAUCAAUGAAGAUAAUGACAUUAAUUGAAGAAGAAGCUCCGGCUAACUCCGUGCCAGCAGCCGCGGUAAUACGGAGGGGGCUAGCGUUGUUCGGAAUCACUGGGCGUAAAGCGUAUGUAGGCGGAUCAAAAAGUUAGAUGUGAAAUCCCUGGGCUCAACCCAGGAACUGCAUUUAAAACUAGUGAUCUAGAAUUUGGUAGAGGUUAGUAGAAUUUCCAGUGUAGAGGUGAAAUUCGUAGAUAUUGGAAAGAAUACCAGUGGCGAAGGCGACUAACUGGGCCAUUUUUGACGCUGAGAUACGAAAGCGUGGGUAGCAAACAGGAUUAGAUACCCUGGUAGUCCACGCAGUAAACGAUGAGUGCUAGUCGCUGGGUCAAUAGAUUCGGUGUCGAAGCUAACGCAUUAAGCACUCCGCCUGGGAAGUACGGUCGCAAGAUUAAAACUCAAAUAAAUUGACGGGGGCCCGCACAAGCGGUGGAGCAUGUGGUUUAAUUCGAAGCAACGCGAAGAACCUUACCAGACCUUGACAUGGUGUGUUUGAAUUACAGAAUCGUAAUUCUUCAGUUCGGCUGGCACACACACAGGUGCUGCAUGGCUGUCGUCAGCUCGUGUCGUGAGAUGUUGGGUUAAGUCCCGCAACGAGCGCAACCCUCAUUUUUAGUUGCCAUCAGGUNAUGCUGGGCACUCUAAAAAAACUGCCGGUGAUAAGCUGGAGGAAGG
rnacentral:rRNA from 1 species